ACAUAGAACUGCUCUCAUAAGAAGGAAUUAAUACAACAGAUAUUUGGAUCAGCAAACGACUAUCAUAACGUUACCCUACAGCUGGUUCGUUUGUUCUUUUUCCCUUUUUAUUCUAUCUUUCAGUAACUGCUUAACAACUGCUAUUCAAUCAUAUAACUCAUCGAGGGAUGCGUACUUUACUCACUGAAGAAGAAUCACUCCUGACUCUGAAUAUGUUAAAGAAAGUUGGUUUACAAUUCAAAUCCUGUGAAAGGUAAUCCUGCAUCCUGAAUAUUGGACUGUGGCUACCAUAAGUACCUGAGGAAAAGAAGUAAAUGCACAGCGUUAGUGGAAGGGAUUGCCCACGUCUUACAGGCAAAUCAACAAUUAACUCUAUCAAUCCUCAUUCUAGAAGCUCUACAUUAUCUCAGCGCUUUACUUUCUAAAGUAUUCUAAUACAAACAAGGAACAACUUAUGCGAUGUAUUCAUUAAAAGGGUUUCACCAACUUAAUUUGCUCUGUUGUUGGGGAAGAAAUAGUAGCCAGUAAAGUGAAAGUAAUAAUGGAUGAAGAGCAUUUGGUGACCUUAUGGAGGAGGUGGAUGCUCACAGGAGUCCUGUCAAGGUCAGGCAUUCAGCACAAGUCACGCUCCUCUGCUCCUUUCUCCUGCCCCCCCAGUGCAGCAUUCCUUUCCUACUGGCACAAACGGUACCAUGCUCUCAUCUCCUGCUCCCUUGCCUGACCUACAGCACAGCUGUGCCAGGCACAUGGGGAAACUGUGAGGGACAGGGACUGCUGGUUUGUAUGGCUGCAGGAAGGACAGGUCAGUCCAACAAUCAUGUGCAUAGGAAGGGCUGCACGUCUUUAGCACUGCUGGAUCCAAAUACAUUGCAAAUCCAUGUCUGAAAGUCGAAUAAAAACAAUUUCACAGUGCUAAUUAUGAAAUGAAUUUCCAGCCGUGAGUAACUGUGAUACCAUUGCUGAAUAACGUAACCUCCUAACUCAGAGCACUCGCACAGCACUUUCACUUUCUAUUCCCCUUGGCCAAAGAAAGAAGAAAAAGAGAAAAAAAAAGUCCCAUUUCUUUGCCAAACACCUGUUAAUCUUUUAUUUUGUAGCAGAAAUGAGAAGUUGUAAAGACAAAGUAUUUUCCACUGUGCAUGCAUGACAUUUAAUUUCAGUCAGUAAGAAUUUACCCCGUUCAUCUUAUUAAAGGUGUGUUGUUUUUCCUCGCUCAUUAUACGUCUCUAUUUAUAUCUCUCUGUUUUUCUGCGAAGAAAUAAAUGAAAACAGAAGCACUGUAUGUCAUUUUACUACAGAGCUGAUAACCUGUGUGCUCGUGUGAUUUAUUUGAGCUGCCUCUGUCUUGCCAACCAUGAUGCUAUUUCACACCUCAGUUAUUACAAACUGCUAAGUAAAGAGGAUAUUUUCCACAACAUUUUAUCAUAGAAAUAAGCAUUUCUGCAUCACACUGUAUUCUUCUCUUGGAAUUUUACAUCAACAGAACAUAGCAGCAGCAAUCACUAAGAGGCCAGUAAGUCAGCUGGAGAUGCAGUGUGCUCCCUUUUGAAACAGGUGUGUGUAAUACAGCCAUAGCACUACUCCAGAUUUACUGUUGCAUUCCACUGUAAGUACACUGUUCAUCUGCUUCAAACAUGUACAUCAGUGCCCAUAGCAUUUAUCGCACAAUCCUAACAGCAUCGUAAUUCGGCCAGUUGUUUUCAUACUUGCAGAAAAACUCACUAGCACGAAAAUGAAUGUACUGACAUACACACACAAACACCUGAAGGAGACAAACACGACACAGUUUUGAGGACAAGUUUUCAAACCUUAGACUUCUGUGUUUCCUGGUUACAUCUCGUAACAGAAAACCUUGGCCUCUUCCUUAGCAUUAGGGUUAAGCUGCCUAUCCCCAGUAUGAAGGCAAAAGCUUCCUGUCUGAAGGCAUUUCUCAUCAGGUAGGCACACACAGUUUUAUCACAGCUUUAGGAAUGCAGUUCCAAUAAGACGCGCACCUUGAACAAACAAGGAUAUUAAAAUAAUUUUAAAACCUUCAAUAACGGAGCAUUAGACCAUCAUAUGCUUAACCUACGUUUAUUUUUUAAGUGGUUGCUGAGCAUUAUUGCAGCUGGUGCAAAUCUGUCACGCAGAUGGCAAUUGGCACUGAUGUUUUCUUUGGCUGUUUGUUUUUCUGCAGUUACACCAGAUUAUAGGUGCUUUCAUUAUAGUUUCAGUUUAGUUAAGAAAGCAUUUAGAGAGAUGUAGUUCAGGUCCUACUUUUAAGAUGGAACAAUUAAAAAACACAGAUUAUUUGUAAUAGCAAUAUUUCUAUUUCUGAAUUCUCUCAAAUUAGAGAAUUCAGACUAUUUGGCUUCUCCAAAGGCAGAGAUAUACCGAAGUUCUUAAAAUCACAGUUUCUAAAGUAGGCAAAGAAGAACCAAUGAAGAACAGCACUGUAAAUUCUUCUAUUUCCAGUAACAGAACGUUUGUAUAACAUCAGCUGUACUCUAAUGUGUCACACAGCUCCAAGAGAUAACACACUGGUAGUAUGUAGUGAUAGAUAGUGAUAGUAAUAGAUUACUUACCCAUAAAAAAAUCACUGAUCAAGAUGUACUUUCUAAAAAAACAGCCAUUCAGAAAUAGGUCCUCGCUGACUAUUCCUUCAGAACAAUUCAAGAAUCUCCUAAAAUUCAUUGUAAAAAAACCCAAAGCAAUGCAACGCUUAAAUUGACAGCUAAGCAUGAGUUUUAACUGAGACAUUAGAUGCACUGCAAUUCUUUUGAAGCAUAGGAAAUGAAUAAACAUAAAAACAAUUGAACGUGCUAAAGUUUAUCAUCUAAGUAACUGCAAAAGUACAACAUUAAGUAUUGUGAAGGAUACGUGAGGCAAAUAUGCCUCCUUAGUGGUGUAAAUGCCAUGGUGUACAUUGAGGCACAGCAAACAAGCACAACAGGUACAAAUACAGGUACAAGUAGAUAGAACUUACCUCAUUACAUCACUUACUGAAAUACAAUGUUCUCUGCCAGCGGGUGCACAGAAGCAAUGAAUGAUCUCUAUAUUUGACCUCAAGAUUGUAGGUUACAGUUACGAAAUGAAGGACACACCCCUGGGAAGGACAAACUUGAAACACGAAUCAGGGCUAUGCAAUCAUUCGACUCAUGAUCUGAAUCAUGGACUCCUAUGGAAAUGUGAUCGCCAAAAGGUUAACGGGAUCAGUCCAACAUGCUGGACCGUUCACGCUUAAGAAACUUCAACAUUUGGUUAUUAUUUUUUCACAGUUAGAGUACUUCUAAAAAUAUUACACAAGAACCUUUUCAGUGUUGCCUGCAGAUCUGGGUGUUUUCUUUAUUGCCCCGUAUUUUACUUUGGGACUAAAUAUAUUCACAGUACCACCAAAAACACCUAAGGCCUACUGAGAAGCGGCCACACUCUUCACAGCACCAGCCAUCAUUUCCAACAGCUUAUCUUGAAUUUGAAAUGAAGACAGAAACCACUGAAGAGAGAAGCAGAAUUCAAAUUAACUCAGCGGGGCCAGGACAGCACCUGAAGGAACUUCCUACAUUUCAUAUCUGAACAAUUAAAGUUCUUGGAUUACACAAGAUGAGAAACAAAGAGUUUUAAAUGAUUUAUUUGAUUUCUCCACAUGAUCACAGUUAUAGUUUUACAUCAAUAGGGUCUGUUACUACUUACAAACAGAAUGCAUAUUAAAAUGAAAGCACUCCUUUCUUCCCCAUAGUUACAAAAGGGGUCUCGAGCCUCCCCAGAACAGAAGCUUCUUGUAAGUGUAAUGAUUUUUGAAGUCUUUAACAGUCUGCAUUCAACACCUAAUUCUAACAGUUUAGUACAACUCAAAGCUGAUUGAAGUUCCUAGCAGGAGACAGGUAUUGUAGGCAACCUCCAAGUGACUGCAGACUUAGAGUAAUACUAAUUUACACACUAUGUACAAUUUAGAGAAUUGUCUACUCCCCCUACUUGGUCCCAUUUUCACCACCCCCUUUUCUAUUGUCCAAAUUUAAUCUUGUUAUUGGUUCCACUUUUCUUUUAAAUAUAUACACAAUAAUCCAUUUUGCAGGCAAAGAAGUGCGAUGGUAUUUUACAACGGAACAGCAAAAUGCAUGCUUAACUGCAGAAAACACACAGCUUCAUAUGGAACAGCAAGUCAACAUCUAGAGAUUCAUUUUUUAAAUAACUGCUGACUGUCUUUCAGCUCAUUUUAUCAAGAAACAAGAGGCUUCUGCUGCAUGCAGUACAUGAUGGGAAAAUCAUUCUACACUGUAUGUUAGACUCUUUUCUUUUUAGCGAUACAAGACGUACAUUAUAUUAGGAUGAACUCUGUUUUCUGUUUUUACAUUGUUGUACAUUUCCAUUUUUUUUAACUUAAAAGAAAAUUAAAAACCCCAAAUAUAUAUUUAAUUGUUGUCCCAGAAAAGAUUUUUGUCGCCACAUCUUCAUUCUUUAGGCUUCCCUUUCAUUUUUUCAAAUCAGCAAUACCACUUUGCCACAUUUUUUAAAUGGGAAUAGAGAAACGCGGUCACUCCACACAGUUCUGUACCAGUGUUUGUUUGGCAACGGCACUUGGGAAAAAAAGCCUCAAUUUUAUACCUGCCUGCAGGCUAAAAAAUAUAUAUAUUAAUUUUUUUUUGACUGCACAGUGUUUAAAAUAUGAUCAUUUUCCCAUUCUAGACAUGCCUCACACUGUUCUAAGCAAUUGUUAACCAAGAAUGGAAUCAGAGAGGUUAGACUAAAAACCCUAAAUAUAGUUAAAAAACAAUUGAGUGCACUGUUUCUCCCUGCUGUUUAGAAAUAAUGCUUACAGUUACUGUGCUCCUACACGACCGUCCUGUUUUAUUAAACUACUGUCAAAAUAGUCUGUGAUUUUAUACAUGCAACUUAAUGCACCUUACAAGGUAGGCACAAACUCUACCAGAUGAAAUCAUGUGCAAAUGUUUCUUGCAUGCACAGCUGUGGUUCUUCUGAACAUUCAGUUGAUUGCCCAUGGAAAACCAGUGAUCGAGCAUUAAGAUGUGGCUUACAGUGUAAGUACAGAAUAUUUAUAUUUGACUAAUUUAAAUGAAUGAAAGGGGUUUUGAAACAAAGCAAAUGCAGAUCUGGGAGUUUUAGGGUCUUCACUGUUAACUAAGUAACACAGCUUGAGUCACAUUCUCCUCUCAGCUGUUACUGAACAUUCUGCAUUUACAUGGUAUACAGUGAAUUUUACUGAUAUUAAAAAUCUGCAUCUGAAACAAGUACGGUCUCUGCUACUCAGUGAAGAGGAGCACUCUUACCUCCAUUCCAAUCAAAAGAAGCAGUUUGUGGAAGAUAUUUGUAACCAAAUGACCCCGUAUCUUUUCUGGAACAACCUAUAAAUUACAAUUAGACUCUACUAUUGGUACAGAUGUAUGAAGAAAAGUCUACAUAUUGAAAUAUGUUAUCACUUUACUUCAACUAAUAUCAACAGUUAACACUGAUAUAUUUCGCAAAUAUACAAUAUGUAGAGUGUAGCCUCACACUAAUAACAUUAGAUGACAUGCAGACAGUUCUACUUUCCCCUAUAAGAACAGUAUAUAUCUUUUUGAAACUGCAAGGAACAGAGCCUCAGGGGACCUGUAGGAGCCCUCUUAAGGUUAGCCGCAGAAUUUCGACUAGUAUGAGCGAUACUUUAAAAUUAUAAUGCAAUCACUUGUUUCCUUUUAAUGAAGAUAAUUCAGAGAAGGAGGAGAAUGGAACAACAUUGCACAUGUGGGAAACAAACGUGGACGGCUUUAAACAAAAGGCUAAACUCUAGAUUGCUGUAUUUGCUCUCUGUGGAGGUUAACAAAGUGCUGAGUUUGCAAUUUUGCUGGUAUUGCGAUAUCAAUGGUAUGAAAGG